AAGGCAAGGAGGUCUGCUUGUACAGACGGCGCGAUACUUCGGUCUGCGGCCGGCUUAGUGAGAUAUCCAAAUUAUUCUGGGCCACUUGGAAGAAAAUCCAGGACGACCCAUUCUACUGGUCUCUCUUCAAGGCCGGUGUUUACUUCUUAUUGGGGCUGAAGCUGUUCGGAGACCUGUCUGCCGAGUUGAAACCACUACCUAAAUGCGUGCGGAGAAGUUAAUGUUUGGAUAAAAUAUUUUCGUUA